GUGGAAGGGGUUUUUAAUCACAAUUUGUCCCCACCAUAACCUUUUUGGUUUUAUAUACCAGACUUCAAGUGGAAGUAUAUAUAUGUGUAUAAAACCAAAAAGGUUAUGGUGGGGAUAAAAUUGUGAUUGAAAACCCCUUCCAC